rnacentral:rRNA from 1 species
AUGGGCGAAGCCUGAUGAGCCCUGCCGCGUGUAUGAGAGGCCUUCGGGUUGUAAGUACUUUCAGUCGUGAGGAAGGUGGUGUCGUUAAUAGCUGCAUUAUUUGACGUUAGCGACAGAAGAAGCACCGGCUAACUCCGUGCCAGCAGCCGCGGUAAUAGGACU